GACGAACGCUGGCGGCGGGCUUAACACAUGCAAGUCGAGCGGAAAGGCCCUGAUUUUGUGGGGUGCUCGAGGGGCGAACGGGUGAGUAACACGUGAGUAACCUGCCCUUGACUUUGGGAUAACUUCAGGAAACUGGGGCUAAUACCGGAUAGGAGCUCCUGUUGCAUGGAGGGGGUGGGAAAGUUGCGGCGGGUGGGGAUGGACUCGCGGCUAAUGAGCUUGUUGGUGGGGUAGUGGCUUGCCAAGGCUUUGGCGGGUAGCCGGCCUGGGAGGGUGACCGGCGACCUUGGGCCUGCGAUAGGGCCCAGACUCCUACGGGAGGCAGCAGUGGCGAAUAUUGCACAAUGGGCCGAAGCCUGAUGCAGAAACGCCGCGGUCGGGAUGCCGUCCUUCGGGUUGUAAACCGCUUUCGCCUGUGACGAAGCGGGUGUGACGGUACUGGGUAAAGAAGCACCGGCUAACUACGUG
rnacentral:rRNA from 1 species